rnacentral:rRNA from 1 species
GACGAACGCUGGCGGCGUGCUUAACACAUGCCAGUCGAACGGAAAGGCCCUGCUUUUGUGGGGUGCUCGAGUGGCGAACGGGUGAGUAACACGUGAGUAACCUGCCCUUGACUUUGGGAUAACUUCAGGAAACUGGGGCUAAUACCGGAUAGGAGCUCCUGCUGCAUGGUGGGGGUUGGAAAGUUUCGGCGGUUGGGGAUGGACUCGCGGCUUAUCAGCUUGUUGGUGGGGUAGUGGCUUACCAAGGCUUUGACGGGUAGCCGGCCUGAGAGGGUGACCGGCCACAUUGGUACUGAGAUACGGCCCAGACUCCUACGGGAGGCAGCAGUGGGGAAUAUUGCACAAUGGGCGGAAGCCUGAUGCAGCAACGCCGCGUGCGGGAUGACGGCCUUCGGGUUGUAAACCGCUUUCGCCUGUGACGAAGCGUGAGUGACGGUAAUGGGUAAAGAAGCACCGGCUAACUACGUG